AGUUCACCGAGAAGUCUGGACUCUAAAAUGGACACCCUUCUUGGAGCCAGUGACCAGCCACCUUCCUGGUAGUGCGAACUGCUGGCCCCUUUGUCCUGUAUAGACCAUCGAUAUCAGAAAUAUGAUCUUGGAGAUGCAUUUGGGGCUGCUCCGCUCUGUCUGUGGACCAGGAUAAAUCAGGGCAGCCUGUCUUCCUGCUGAGUCGUCUCUUCCUGUUUAAAUGUGGGAAUGGGUAUUAAGUACCAGGAGGGCUGGAGACAUGAAAUGUGUCUGAGAGAGGAAGAAGGAUUCUGAGCCACUACACGCUCACUCCCAUGGGGAGCACACAUCCGUUGUUUCUGAGCUCCAAGACUACGUAAGUAACAUGUGCAUGGGUGUGGGAGAGCAUGUGCUGCACAUGUGUGGUGGUCAGGGGAUGGCCUCAGGGUUGGUCCUUGAUUUUUUUACACCUUGCUUGGGACACAAAGACCAAACGAAGAAAGAGAACUUCAGACCAAUCUUUAUGAACAUUGAUGCAAAAAUACUCAAUAAAAUUCUUGCCAACCAAAUCCAAGAACACAUCAAAAUGAUCAUUCACCACGAUCAAGUAGGCUUCAUCCCAGGGAUGCAGGGAUGGUUCAAUAUACGGUAAUCCAUCAAUGUAGUCCACUAUAUAAACAAACUCAAAGAAAAAAACCUCAUGAUCAUUUCAUUAGAUGCUGAAAAAGCAUUUGACAAAUUUCAGCAUCCUUUCAUGUUAAAAGUCUUGGAAGAACAGCAAUCACACUUAACCAUUGAACCAUCUUUCUAGUUCAUCCUUGAGGAAAGAAAAGUUUAAGUCUCCGGUGGAUAUAGAUGCUCAAGUCUGUGACCUCAGUGCUCCUCAGUGCUCAAGAGGAUCUCAAUGUCGACCCUAGCCUGGGUUACACAGACCCUGUCUCCAAAUCCAUCCAUCCAUCCAUCCAUCCACCCAUCCAUCCAUCCAUCCAUCCAUCCAUCCAUCCAUCCAUCCAUCCAUCAAAAUUUUAAACAUUCUAGGCCAGCAGAUCUUCAUGACAAUGGGCACAGAAGCAAGGUUCCAAACCCCUGUCUAAUUUGGUCAAGUUGUCCAGUCAAUCCUACCAUUUACUGAUCUAACACGCCAUUCAGCCAGGAACCUGGACCCCAUCUGCCUGGCAGGGCAUGGAAGUCUAUCCUUGGCCAUCACUGUAGUUUAUAAAGCCAUGGACUAAAAAGACUGAUGGCGGCGGCUCCUUCAGCUCAGGAGAAAAGCUUUGCCAGAAAAAUGUAAAGACUAGGAAACAUGCGAAUGACAUCUCUGCUUUAGGCAGGACUAGAAACAGGACUCAGAUUCCCUUCUCUUGGGAGAGAGCAAGGCGAUUUCACAACCCCAAUAGGACAGAGCGUUUGAUGGCUCCCAGAUGACAAAUUAGAAUUCAAAUGAACUUUAAGGAUGAUCCCAAGUCUUUCAGGUCAUUGUCUUUCAAGUCUUUCAGGUCAUUGUCUGCUGAAAAAAAAACUUUUCCCAUGGUGUCCAUAUGACACCUGUAAGAGGCCACACUGCCCGUUACAGGGGCUUUUUUUUUUCCCUGUCAUCUACUCUCAUCUACUCUUUUUGAAAAUACGGUCCCUUUUACAAAGUGCUACACAGCUCUGGGUACCUUGGGAGCCACUCAUAGAACCACUUCAUGAGCUCUGAAGCAGAUCCCAUCCCAAUGUCAAUCUCUGCAACACAGUCAAGACC
rnacentral:lncRNA from 1 species